rnacentral:ncRNA from 1 species
CCAGCUGUCUCAUCGGCAGUUCCCUACCUAACCGUGCGUUGGGAGUAAUUUCAGGGUGCAAAGCCUCGGGGACAAUGUAACUACAAAGUAUCCGUAAGAAUGGGCCUUGAGACUCAAUCUAAAGCUGCCAGCCGCAGACGGUAAG